CGGUAUCGCCAUUUCCUGCGAAAUUGUCGGAG
rnacentral:scRNA from 1 species